GGUUUUCAUUUAAAAAAAAACAAAAUUUCUAGUAGAGCUGGCCAGGAAAUGGGUAUUUUUUUCCCAAGUGGGAAACCUCCACUUUUCACAGAAAUGUCAAAACCCGAAAUAUUUCAAUUGAAAAUGGCCUGAUGGGAGUUAUAGUUUGAGUGCCUUGUGCUUCCAUUCUCUUCUGUGGGCCAGGAUCUGUAGCCGGACUAUAUCUCCCAUGAUGCACCUUAGCGUAGGAUUCCUAUGAUGCACGUCCUUCCCUCACCGAAAGAGGAGCUGGUGGUGCAUCAUGAGAGAUGUAGUCCAGACAAACACCUUGACCUAUAGUGGAGAAUGAGGAUACAAGGCUCUGAAACUACAUCUCCCAGGAUGCACCGUGGCUAUGGAUUCCUAUGAGGCUCCCUCCCAUCACCAAGAGGGAGAUAGUGGAGCAUCAUGGGAAAUGUCAUCCAGCUGGGCAGCACAGCCUAUAGAGGAGGCUGGGGGUGCUGGGACGGGAGGGCUCCGCGUCUGAGCAUCAGCCACCCCCCGUGUUUGGGCUCCCGCGUUCAUCCUGGGACCUGCAGUUGCGCUCGUCCUGCUGCUGCUGGUGGGGCUGGUCGGCGUCACAGCUUGGAGGAAGAGGCGGAGCAAACGCCAGGGACUGAGCAG